UAGGGAAUCUUAGACAAUGGGGGCAACCCUGAUCUAGCCAUGCCGCGUGAGUGAUGAAGGCCUUAGGGUUGUAAAGCUCUUUCGCUAGGGACGAUAAUGACGGUACCGGAAGAAGAAGCACCGGCUAACUCCGUGCCAG
rnacentral:rRNA from 1 species